GUGUUCUACCGUGAAGGUCGGUGAGUUGUCGCCGGCGAACGGCCGACGGGU
rnacentral:sRNA from 1 species